GAGGGUAUAGCUCAGUGGUAGAGCAUGUGCUUAGCGUGCACGAGGUCCUGGGUUCAAUCCCCAGUACCUGCA
rnacentral:tRNA from 1 species